GGGGCCCCACAUGUACUAAAAUUAGAAAGAUAGAGAGGAUUAUUAGCAUGGCCCCUAAGCAAAAAUGACAUGCAAAUUCAUGAAGAAUUCCAUAUAUUU
ensembl:snRNA U6 U6 spliceosomal RNA